UGUCCUUGGCCUUGGGCAUCUUCACAUCAGCGGCGGAUCUCGUAAACUCCUUUACCAGGAUACCCGGUGUCUUUUUCUGGCCAUUUUUCAGUUCGUAAAAGUGCAGGAGAUUCUCUCGAAUACGCCUGAAUAUAACAAAUAGAGUGUUUCGCAGGAUCCUCGAAUUUGAGCCAUUUAUAAAAAUAUAUUGGAGGACGCUGAAGCACCAAUCCCACAACAAAACUCUGGUAGUGAAGCUAAUCUUGGGCGGAGCUGUACAUUUUCAAGGAGGAUUGAUGUGAUUUUUAAAUCUAAGCUUAAACUGCUUAAAAAAGCUUACCAGAAAUAAUAAAUAGUAUAAGAAUUUCUGUA